GGGCGGUUGGCGCAGUGGUAGCGCACUUCCCUGACACGGAAGGGGUAACAAGUUCGAAUCUUGUAUCGCCCA
rnacentral:tRNA from 2 species